rnacentral:rRNA from 1 species
AGCUCCAAUAGCGUAUAUUAAAUUUGUUGCAGUUAAAGCGUUCGUAGUUAAAGUUUCACAUUUCGACUCAGCUAUGCAUCGUUUCGAUGUUAGGCGAAAGUCGAAAUGCAAUGUGGUUUUCUACAUUGUAUUACUUUGAGUAAAUGGACUUGCUCCAAGCAGGCUUAGCUUGUACCGCUCAGCAUGGAAUAAUAUUAUACAGCUCUUUUUCGAACUGUCAGAGAUUCGAUUUAGAUGUGAUGAUUGAUAAGGACAGUCGGGGGCAUUUGUACUUGCUGGAGAGAGGUGAAAUUCUAAGACCCAGCAAAGACAAACAGAUGCGAAAGCUUUUGCCCAGGAUGUGCCUG